AGAGUUUGAUCCUGGCUCAGAACGAACGUUGGCGGCGUGGAUCAGGCAUGCAAUUCGAACGAAUCCCGUGGGGGUAACUCUGCGGGGGAAGUGGCGAAAGGGGCAGUAAGGCAUGGAUAACCUGCCCCGGACUCCGGGAUAGCCCUUCUAACGAGGGGGUAAUACCGGACAACGUAGGCAACUACGAAAGCUCAGGCGGUCCGGGAGGGGUUCAUGUGGUAUUAUGCUAGAUGGUGAGGUAACGGCUCACCAUGGCCGAGAUGCCUAGCAGGUGUGAGAGCACGACCUGCGCCACUGGCACUGGGACACUGGCCAGACUCCGACGGGAGGCGGCAGUCGAGGAUCGUCGGCAAUGGGCGAAAGCCUGACCGAGCGACGCCGCGUGGGCGAUGAAGGCCUUCGGGUUGUAAAGCACUGUCGGGGGGGAGAAAAGGGCAACUCGGAUCGACCCCCGGAGGAAGCUCGGGCUAAGUUCGUGCCAGCAGCCGCGGUAAUUC
rnacentral:rRNA from 1 species